GAACCUUCGGGGAACGAUAACGGCGUCGAGCGGCGGACGGGUGAGUAAUGCCUAGGAAAUUGCCUUGAUGUGGGGGAUAACCAUUGGAAACGAUGGCUAAUACCGCAUAAUGCCUACGGGCCAAAGAGGGGGACCUUCGGGCCUCUCGCGUCAAGAUAUGCCUAGGUGGGAUUAGCUAGUUGGUGAGGUAAUGGCUCACCAAGGCGACGAUCCCUAGCUGGUCUGAGAGGAUGAUCAGCCACACUGGAACUGAGACACGGUCCAGACUCCUACGGGAGGCAGCAGUGGGGAAUAUUGCACAAUGGGCGCAAGCCUGAUGCAGCCAUGCCGCGUGUAUGAAGAAGGCCUUCGGGUUGUAAAGUACUUUCAGCAGUGAGGAAGGGGGUGUCGUUAAUAGCGGCAUCUCUUGACGUUAGCUGCAGAAGAAGCACCGGCUAACUCCGUGCCAGCAGCCGCGGUAAUACGGAGGGUGCGAGCGUUAAUCGGAAUUACUGGGCGUAAAGCGCAUGCAGGUGGUUUGUUAA
rnacentral:rRNA from 1 species